UCGACCUGUUAAUUAGUGGAUUGGGAUCUGAAAGAUCAUGAGUGGAGUGAUGCAUCCAUCUUCAUAUCUAGUUCUAAGAACCCAUAUCAUAGACAAGCGGAGAAGUUUAACCUUGUGAAUGGGCUGAAUACUACAUAGACUUGAGUUUUUGGAUAGAACUCUUCGAGUUUGCCGAUACUCUACGGGUCAGGGGAUUCAUUGGUUGGUUUUAGUGAUGUUGUUUAUGAUGAGAUAGAUAAGAAUUUGUAUUAUUUUAUUUUGAUGAUGAUUAUGAUAGUAAAUAUGGCAUAAAUAAUGACAGUAAUGAAAGGGAUGAUGCCAUCAAAAGUGUCUUCAUUGACAAGCUAGUGGUGUCAUUCGUGUAUAAGGCGAUGAAUUCAGGCAUAUGACUAAAGCUUUGAGAUUGAGCACACGAAUGAGAGAUCUCUUCAAUGGGAAAGGAGGUUUAAUAGAAGGGUGCAUAGAGAGAAUUGAUCGUCCUGGACUUGAUUUUGUGGCAUUGGAAGAUCCAAAAUUAGUUCCUCCGAUCAGAGCACACAAAGUGGCAUGUAUUUGCAGCAUCUGGUACUCUAAAGGGUGAUCGAGCUGAAUGGCUUGUUGAGAAAUGCGCGGUAUGUCUUAAAUGCACAAAUGAAAAACAUUUCUGCUUAAAAUUAUAGCCAUUUUAUUCCCUUUUCUUUUGUAAUUGUUGAGUCCUCUAAUUUUCUCUCCUUGGGAACUUGGAGCCCAUAGUGUGACCCCUCUGCUGACAGAACGUUCUCUAUCAAUCUCAGAAAACCGAGUAGACAGGCUGUGACAUGUCAUUUUGGCAGCAAGUACAAAACAGAGUAAAUAAUUGCUCCUGUGAUAAAUUUUCCUUGGGAUGUGGAGGUUCUUAUCAAUUUAAUUUUGACUCUCUGAUAAAAAGUAAUUUGUUAAUUUUCUUUUAACCUUACCUCUAUACUAGGUCAGCAGUUGAGUGAAAUAAUUCUAAAUCCUCCAACCAAAGUUGUUGGCCUUUUGCCUCUAAUGAAGAUGACCAGCAUCUUGGCUCAAGGAGGAUAGAUUUAACAGUGUUUGUGGAGCUUUUUUGGUGGGUUAAGAUAUUCCAGUGCUAUAACUGAAGGGAAAGGGAACCAUCCAAGUCAGAUUCCUUACCACUCAUUCCAUGAGUUUGAUGUUUUUUUUUACUCUUUUUUUUUUUAUCAAAUUCCUGAUGACAUUGGCGAAGACCAUGAUCAAGGCCUGAUAACAUAACACAACCUGUCAUAUGUCCCAUAAAUACCCAGGAUUUAGUAAAUCAUAAAAGAGUAACUAGACCAAAUCAGCCAUAAAUCAAAUCCUGGACAACAAUCAAGAACACUCUCUCUUUGAAGAAAAUGCAUUGUUUAUUGGUCAGGAGUUGGCCAUCUCCUACACUGACCACGGGAAAAGGAAUGUUUGAAAAUACGUGGACAUUCUUCUCUUCAUCUAUCCCUACUAUGCUGAGCUUGACCUUUUUCUUUUUUUUUGGGUUAUAUAGCUUGCCCAGUCAAAGCUAUGUUUUCUGGCAACAGCAGAAGCUACUCCUGUUGUUAGUGUAUUGACUUCAUCAAGAAAAGAAUCAAGUGGAUUGACGAUAGUGGGACCGGAAGGGGGUUAGUACACUUCCUAUGUUAGUUCCUAUUCAUCAUAAUUUUCUUCUGCUGCAUGUAUGGGCGAAAGCUACACGGUAUGUUAGUGUAUAUUAUUUUUGUUUUUAUUUUAAAUAUGUUGUCAGUUGGUUUAAUUUGUUGGGAGGAGCUUAUGUUUUUUUUAAAAAAUAUUGAUUGAAUUAGUGUCUGUAUCUCGUGGCAUAAUAACUCUGUUAUGUUGUGAUGGUUGCCAUGCACUGUUCCCUCAGUCCCCUUCACCCGUUUAUUUCAAAAAGUUAUCCCAUGGCUUCUAUGUGUUUCAGAUUUCACUACAUUAUAAAAUGUAUAAGAUAUGUCAUGAGAUAUAUGUACUUCAAUGAUUCUAAGAUAUGUCAUGAGAUAUAUGUACUUCAAUGAUUCUU